UACGGAGGGUGCAAGCGUUAUCCGGAUUCACUGGGUUUAAAGGGUGCGUAGGUGGGCAGGUAAGUCAGUGGUGAAAUCUCCGGGCUUAACUCGGAAACUGCCAUUGAUACUAUCUGUCUUGAAUACCGUGGAGGUCAGCGGAAUAUGUCAUGUAGCGGCGAAAUGCUUAGAUAUGACAUAGAACACCAAUUGCGAAGGCAGCUGGCUACACGAAUAUUGACACUGAUGCACGAAAGCGUGGGGAUCAAACAGG
rnacentral:rRNA from 1 species